rnacentral:rRNA from 1 species
CAGGCUAACACAUGCAAGUCGAACGGCAGCACGGACUUCGGUCUGGUGGCGAGUGGCGAACGGGUGAGUAAUGUAUCGGAACGUGCCCAGUAGCGGGAGAUAACUACGCGAAAGCGUAACUAAUACCGCAUACGCCCUACGGGGGAAAGCAGGGGAUCGUAAGACCUUGCACUAUUGGAGCGGCCGAUAUCGGAUUAACUAGUUGGUGGGGUAACGGCUCACCAAGGCGACGAUCCGUAGCUGGUUUGAGAGGACGACCAGCCACACUGGGACUGAAACACGGCCCAGACUCCUACGGGAGGCAGCAGUGGGGAAUUUUGGACAAUGGGGGAAACCCUGAUCCAGCCAUCCCGCGUGUGCGAUGAAGGCCUUCGGGUUGUAAAGCACUUUUGGCAGGAAAGAAACGUCAUGGGUUAAUACCCCGUGAAACUGACGGUACCUGCAGAAUAAGCACCGGCUAACUACGUGCCAGCAGCCGCGGUAAUACGUAGGGUGCAAGCGUUAAUCGGAAUUACUGGGCGUAAAGCGUGCGCAGGGGGUUCGGAAAGAA